rnacentral:rRNA from 1 species
UACGAAGGGUGCAAACGUUGCUCGGAAUUAUUGGGCGUAAAGAGCGUGUAGGCGGCCAGACAGGUCCGUUGUGAAAACUAGAGGCUUAACCUCUAGACGUCGAUGGAAACCGUUUGGCUAGAGUCCGGAAGAGGAGAAUGGAAUUCCUGGUGUAGCGGUGAAAUGCGCAGAUAUCAGGAAGAACACCCGUGGCUAAGGCGGUUCUCUAGUACGGUACUGACGCUGAGACGCGAAAGCGUGGGGAGCGAACAGG